rfam:Mosquito flavivirus gene for polyprotein, complete cds, strain: YDFV/Oct/2013
CCCCAGUUCCUAGAUCUAGGAAAGAUCCCGUGGCGUUGUGAGGACG